GCGCAGCAGUCGAGAAUCCUUCGCAAUGCGGAACCGCGACGAGGGACUCCCAGUGCCUACGCUCAGCGUAGGCUGUUCCCGAGCCUAGAAAGCUCGGGGAGUAAGGGCUGGGUAAGACGGGUGCCAGCCGCCGCGGUAAUACCCGCAGCCCGAGUGGUGGCCACUAUUAUUGGGCCUAAAGCGUCCGUAGCCGGCCCGGUAAAUGCCUGGGUAAAUCGUGAGGCCUAACCUCACGAAUUCCGGGUAGACUGCCGGGCUAGGGACCGGAGGAGGGAGAGGGGUACUCCAGGGGUAGGGGUGAAAUCCUGUAAUCCCUGGAGGACCACCGGUGGCGAAGGCGCUCUCCUAGGACGGGUCCGACGGUGAGGGACGAAAGCCAGGGGAGCGAACCGGAUUAGAUACCCGUGUAGU
rnacentral:rRNA from 1 species